rnacentral:rRNA from 1 species
ACCCGCUGAAUUUAAGCAUAUAAGUAAGUGGUGGAAAUUAAACCAAAUGGGAUUCCUUAAGUAAUUGCGAAUGAACAAGGACAUGCUUAGCUUGACAAUUGGAGCCUCUGGCUUCGACUUGUAUUUUUGAAAUGUAUUACCAACAGAGGUGCAGGUGUCAGCCUAUUGAAAGAAAGCGUCAAUGAGGGUGAGAAUCCUGUUUGUCAUGUGCAAUCCUCUGUGCACGGUGUAUGUUUGCUGAGUCACACUCCUUGGCAUUGGAAUGCAAAGUGGGUGGUAAGUUUCAUGUAAAGGUAAAUAUAGGAUUGAGACUGAUAGCACACAAGUACCAUGAGGGAAAUAUGAAAAGGACUUUGAAAAGAGAAUUAAAUGAGUUUGUAUUUGCUGAACAGAAAAUAAACAGAUUUGAUGUUGCUUGGUGAGAUUGUGGUGCUUGCUUGACAAUAGGUUUUGAUUGUGGGUGUGAUGAUUCUUGCUUUGCUUGCCAGUUUCUAUUUGUACAUUUGAUUACCCUUGCACAUGAAUGGUAAUUUUCCUGCGGGGUUCGGAUUGCAUGUGUUUGUGAUGAUUUGUGUUUUGAUACAUGUGUCUGGUGCUUUUGUAAUUGCUCAUUUCUUGAAGCUGGGCCUACCCUACUAGAGCUUACAAGCCCUGGCACACAAUUGCUGGCAAAAUGCUUCUGCUUGACCCGUCUUGAAACACGGUCCAAGG